rnacentral:rRNA from 1 species
AUACGGAGGGUGCAAGCGUUACUCGGAAUCACUGGGCGUAAAGCGCGCGCAGGCGGCCUUUUAAGUUGGAUGUGAAAGCCUAUGGCUCAACCAUAGAACUGCAUCCAAAACUAUUGGGCUAGAGUGUGGGAGAGGAAGAUGGAAUUAGUUGUGUAGGGGUAAAAUCCGUAGAGAUAACUAGGAAUACCAAAAGCGAAGGCAAUCUUCUGGAACAUUACUGACGCUGAGGCGCGGAAGCGUGGGGAGCAAACAGGAUUAGAUACCCUGGUAGUCCACGCCCUAAACGAUGAAUGUUAGUCGUCGGGAAGCUAGCCUUUUCGGUGAUGCAGCUAACGCAUUAAACAUUCCGCCUGGGGAGUACGGUCGCAAGAUUAAA